GACGAACGCUGGCGGCGUGCUUAACACAUGCAAGUCGAACGAAGAGCGAUGGAAGCUUGCUUCUAUCAAUCUUAGUGGCGAACGGGUGAGUAACGCGUAAUCAACCUGCCCUUCAGAGGGGGACAACAGUUGGAAACGACUGCUAAUACCGCAUACGAUCUAAUCUCGGCAUCGAGGAUAGAUGAAAGGUGGCCUCUACAUGUAAGCUAUCACUGAAGGAGGGGAUUGCGUCUGAUUAGCUAGUUGGAGGGGUAACGGCGCACCAAGGCGAUGAUCAGUAGCCGGUCUGAGAGGAUGAACGGCCACAUUGGGACUGAGACACGGCCCAGACUCCUACGGGAGGCAGCAGUGGGGAAUCUUCCGCAAUGGACGAAAGUCUGACGGAGCAACGCCGCGUGAGUGAUGACGGCCUUCGGGUUGUAAAGCUCUGUUAAUCGGGACGAAAGGCCUUCUUGCGAAUAGUGAGAAGGAUUGACGGUACCGGAAUAGAAAGCCACGGCUAACUACGUG
rnacentral:rRNA from 1 species